ACCUCUUCAUUUUCAUCAAAGAAUGGAUGUUCUGGCAACACUCCAUGAGAUGCAACUUUAUCAUCAUCGAAUGCAUCAACCAACCCAAAUUCAAAAAUAAGAGAUGUCUUGUGUGCUAAGACAUCAUCUUUCGUACUGGACUCCUCACUAUCACUACCAUCAGACUCCACAUCAUCAUCUUCAUCUUCAUCAUCAGUAGGAUUAGGAUCAUAACUAAUAGUGACUUCAUUUUUGAAUAAAGUUGUAUCGGUCGUUAUGGUUUCUAAUCCACCAACCCGGAUAUGGCAUGUAUGC
rnacentral:lncRNA from 1 species